CUUAAAUUAAGGUUGUCAUUAAUCUGCAUUUGCUAUAAAUUUCACAUUACCGUGACAGCCAUAUGUUAUAAAAAAUUCUAAUUUAUAGGCUGGACUGGGAUUAAAAAUCUUCUUAUACUGGUAGGGUACAGGUGUUGAUAUCUAGGCUAGCAUAAAAGCAGCAAAUGGAUAAAUUCUUAAUCCUAUUGGUUUGAAUUAAUAAUUAGCACAUACUUAACUAUCAAUCAUUUGUGUAUAUAUAGUUUAAGUGCAUCUCAACAAGGUUGGCACCUAGUUAGCUAUAAUUCUGUUGUUUAAUUUUCUAUGUUUGCAAAUUAAUCUUCUACGACUUCUUUUGCAAGUUUUUUUGAAGUCUUCAAUGAUGUUGUCAUUCAUUUUAUCUUGUAUCCUCCCAGCUGCUAAUAUUCAAUCUUUCACACAUAUGAGGGCUUCUAAAAUGUCUUCCUCGAGCCUUGACUUUCUUUCAUCAAUACCCAAGCAAACUUGGAUGCCACCGUUCAUAUUGGAACUGUAGUAGAUUUUAUGCCAUUUUUUAUAUUAUUGGAUACGAUCUUUCGUUUUUUUUCCACCAUCUUAAGAUAUCUAAAUUUAAUAUUUCAUUUACCAAAGUUAAACUCAAAUUGAUAAUAUCUUUCUAAUUCAGCUGGUGUAAUGUUCAUGGUAGUGUUACAAUUAUAUGCCCCAUGAUGUUUCUUAGCUAUCUCAGAAUAAAAAGAAGCUUUACAUUUAGAAGUUGCAGCAGAGCUCAUAGGAGUUAUACAAUUCAUUAAUAAAACAUUCCAAAACUUUUUGAAAAAUUUUCUAUAACACAUUGAACUCCCAAUAAUUUAACACGAGAAUCAAUCACAGCUGCCUGGGAAAAUUAGUGGCAUGUUAUCGUGAUAUUUUCGAAACUUUUCUGCCAUCAUAUAAACAAUUUGGGCAAAAAAUUCAUCAUACCUAUAACUCGAAAAUUGCUUAGUAAUGUCUACUAAUAGUAAAAGCAUAAAACAAUUUGUUGUGUAAUAAACACUUGAACAAACUUUUGUUACCUUAUUGAAAGUUUCAAAAUUUUCAUAACCUUAAAUGCAGUUCUCCAAUCUAAAUCUUCAAACAUGAAAUUGACUAUACUUCGAAUUAACGUAGACAUUAAUAGUAUUUGCAUAGUCAAACAUGACUUUAGCAUAAGAAAUAUUGAAUUCCAUCUAUUUGGAAUGAAUCUAGAAGUUUUCUUUUUCGUGGUCCAAAUUUUUACUACAUCUUCUAAAUUCUAGUUGUCGUUGAGAAUUUGAAGUGGUAUAGUCAAUGGCCCCUCCUAUUUUGGAAAUUUGUGGUGCUAUUGGUUUCAAAUCAUCUUGCAUAAUUAAAUUAAGUAUAUGACCAACACACCGUACAUUAAAUAAUUUAGCACCAAAUGGGGUUGAAGAGUUCUAGUUAAAAUUUAUAUGCAUGCAGAAUUAGGUUUAGUAUUAUCAAAACCAAUGCUUAGUAAUUUAUGUAAAACGUCAGAUUUGUUGAAAACUUGUCAUAAAUUAUCUCACAAAUUUGGACCACCGAAAAGCAAUAAUUUUCAUAAAUAAUAGCCAAUUAUUAUCGACAAAAUUUACAAUGACACAAGUGUAACCAUUAUGGUUACAUCCUGACCAACAAUUAGACGUAAAAGAAAUAAUUCCAUUAAAAUUAUUAAAUUCAAUUUCUAAAUUUUUUAUUCAUUGUAUGGAAUAAUUUCAUAAUAUCGAAACAAGCAGUAUUUCUACUUAUGUUGCAAUAAGAGGUUGGAUAUACUUUUGCAUAAUCUCCUCGAAGUAUUUAUCUUCUACAAAAGUGAAGGGAACUCGCUUACUGCCAAAAAUUUCGACAUUUCAGUUCUCAUUAAGAAAAGUUAGAAAAAUAAUUGAUCCACAUGGAUAUUUAAAAGAAGUAAUUUGAGUGUGUAUAGCAUCUAAAUUUUUUCGCUUCCUUAAGAUGAGAUUUUUUAUAUCAUUGCAGUGUGCGGUGCCUUGAUCACAAACCCAAUAUAUAUUCAUUUUGAACAAAUUUUGCAAACCGUUAAUCGUCUUUCUAAAUCAACUCUAAAAAUUUGCCACGAAUGUUUUUUUUUUUUGGGCUUGACGAUCCAAUUUUUGAUGUAUCAUCAUCUAGAUUUAUUGGAGAGCAAAUAUUAUCAAUAGAAAAAUCGUGGGAUUCCAUAAUACAGUAGUAACUAGUAAGUAAUAACUUACUAUAAAUUUUAGAACAAGAAAAUGAAGUUUGAAUUCUAAGAAUUUAUGAAGUAAAUCUGUAAAAUAAGUAAAUAUUUGUGUGAAUAAUGAAUUCAAUGUGCAAAUAAAUAUGAUAUUUAUAUUGUAAAAAAUGAACGUUAUCAAGCGGUCAAAAAUUAUAAAGAAGGCGUAAAACGGAUACGCCUUCUACAGAAGGUGUAAAAGUACGCCUCCUUUCCUUCUUUAAAGAAGGCAUAAAAGAAACUAGUACAAAAAAGGUGUAAAAGCACACCUUUUGUAAGAGAAUAAAGUCAGUAGCCAGGGUUAGAAAUAGGGAAGAAGGAGAAAGACUGAGGUGGCAACAAAUGGUUGGUUGUUUUUUGUUUAAAAAUUUUCAAAUUGUCCAAUUGCGGAGCGACACGUUUUGCCCGUUUUGGAGCCUUUUCUAACCCUGGAUGUGUAGAACAAUUGUCUUUAAGAAAGACAUAAAAGAAUUCAGUACAAGGAAGGUAUUACAGUACGCCUUCUUUAAAGGUGUAAAAGUUACGCCUUCUUAAAUAAAAAUUCGUAAAAGAAGACGAAGGCGUAUCUGCCUUUUCUGAAUUUCGAAUUUCCUUUUGACAGUCUAGGCUAUCAUAGGCCUUUUGCUGUCAGGGCCUUAGGCUGUGAUAGCAUGAAAG
rnacentral:lncRNA from 1 species